UAAAUAAAUAUUUUAAUUCUAUUAUUGGCAUUUACAGGUAGAAAGCGUACAGUAUGUUACAAUUUUAUCAAAACGUGAAAAAUAUGGAUGUUACAUAAGUAACAAAUGUAAAAAAAGUAUUUUUCUUACCUUCCCUGAAAGUAAGAAAACUAUUCAGCAUAGGAAAAUAUUGAUAUAAAAACACAGCUUAGGUAAAAAAAAAACCCAAAACAAAAAAAUUUGAAGUUUUUACACAGUACGAUAGGUUCAUCAGGUCUGCAUGAAGAUGUAAGGACUUUGUGAGGUUCUACUUUACCUAAAACUUUAGGGAAUCUGGGACAAACAGUAAGCUACAUUAAUGAAUCUACAAGUAGUUUUCCCUCAUAUCCGCUCCAAAAUGCUAGAGUGCAGUAAUUUUCUAUACAAUAAAUAAUUCUUCCAAGUUUCCAUCAUAGAAAAUCAUAUAAUGCAGAAAAUGCCACUCCAAGGUCACAAGGGCUAGGCAGUGCUUUAAUAAUAAUUAUGAUAAUACUUAUUAUAGUGCUUUACAAUGUCUAAGCACUUCAGAUGAGUUAACUAAUUAGUCCUCACAACACCCCUGUGAGGUAGGUAAGUGUUUUUCCUACCUUUCCGUAGUACAGAUGGGAAGAUGAACUCUGGGGAGAAGCACAGACUGCAGCAGCAGUAGCACAACCAAGACGAGAGGCCAAACGAUGCUCCCCCUGAUCAUGCUGCUGCUGUGGGCUGAGCUGGGCUGCUGAAUGAUCCCAUCCCACUGGAAGCACUGAGGGGGACGGGCAGGGACCAGGGUUAAGCAUCCCCAAAAUAUUUCAUAGAGAUUCAGAAGCUCUCACACAACUUUGUCAACAAAACAAAACAAAACAAAACAAAACAAAAAAAGGAAAAACAAAAGGGGGAACACCCCCUCCCCCCCACCCAAACAAACAAACAAACAAGCUGGAAAUUAAAAAACUCCUAAAGUGCUGACUGGCUUGAACUGCUUCUAGCACCUCUUGUAUGGAAUAAGACUUACAGCACUGUUGCCAGCAAUUAUUCAAGCUGAUUUCAUCCAUAAAGUUACAUGUGAGCAACUGCAGGAUACGGUAACUAUGUUUUCUGAGACACCUUACUAGUAUAAUUCCUUCAUUCACCACCCUUCUUCCAUGUAUUUCUUAAGGAAAAUUAAAUCCUCAAUACUUUUGCAUCAUAAAACAUGUUAGUAGCUGGAGACAAUAUGCACAUCCUUCACAAUUUAAAAAAAAAAAAUUAGUUCAUUUUCAGAACAAAGCAUUAUUAAUUUAAGAAUCACAAACCAAACAAUGGUAAAUAGGAAACCCUUUUCAAAGGCUGCAUGCCGAAUAUCUUGCUUUCAAAUACAAUGCAUGCAGGAGAAAUAAAUUCAUCCAAGCAUAAUUAAAUUAAAAUGGUUUGUUUUGUUUGGGUUGUUUGGUUUUUUUUUAAGUCUCUUUCAGCAGCAUAAUGGUUAUUAUUUUUAAAGUCUUCUCCAACCAAACUGGCCUGGGGUUAAAAUGCUGACCUUUGCUUUUUACAACCAUAUAAUGGUUUGAUCAGUCCCCAUGGCUUUGCACUGUGGCAAUACCAGGAGAUAAAGCCUAUACAUAUUGUUCCGCUUCCCCAUCCUUGGAAACAGGCUUCGUUGUACCACCUUUGCUGUCCUCACUCGCUGCUGCUGCCACUGUUUUUUCAGGAAGUGAUGCCAAAUCUUUGAAAACAUCCACAUAAUGCCCAAAGCCUGGGCCCCAGUUCAAGAGGUUGUCCCAGUUGAAGCUUCCCGCUUGCUGCCCCAGCUUUACAGCCAGGGAGCUCUCCCCGGUGCUGGUGGCGGGUGCCUGUGCCCCCACCGGGCCCCCCUCACCGCGGCGGCCGGGGUACCGCCGGGGCUUCAGCCUGGCACCGUAGUUGUCCUCAUCAUCUGCAUCGGACUCGUUGACCUGGGAUAACUUGGGCAUCCUGGAGGUGUACGCUAUGGGCUUAUCCCUGUCGUACUCCAUCUCUGAGCAGGUGAAGGACUCAUGGGAGUCGCUGUCAGAGGAGGACUCGGGUGCGGGAAUACCGUCGGCCGGGUUCCUUGUCCGGGACAGGGGCCUUCUGCAGUCCUCCUCAGAAGAGGACCGGCCAUGGUCUGCGCUGCAGAUGCUGGGGUUUCUGGGCCGAGGGGUGUUCAGUCUUUCCACCUCUUCAAUGGAUAACCCCACUGGGGGAGCAGUCUCCAGAGGGAUCUGCCCGAUGGGCUGCUUCAGGCGGCUUCCUGGUCGGGAGCCAUGGCUUGCCAUGGUCUGUGGACUCUUACUUCUCCUCCCCAGCCGAGUGGCAUAGUUGAAAACGCCAGGCUGGCAGACAUCGUUGUGCAUCUCCAGCGGGCUCCCCUCCCUUAUGGCAAGGUGCAGCUCCCUUGCUGGACUGUGCCUGUAGAAAGUCGAUGAUUUGGAGAAGGGUGCGGGGCUGUGCCGAGACAGGGGGUUGGGAGUAGGGCACGCUGAGUGGCUUAAAGAUGUUGUCCUUAAGCCCUGCCCAUAGGUGGGCUGAUAGGUCAAGCUGCUGGCUCCCAGGGGCAUGGGGGACUGCCGCGCGAAGCCCAGCGGGCUGUGCCUCUGGAUGGAGAACUUGGGCGUGUGGCUCCGAAACUGCUUGUAGUGCUGGAUGAUGUCAGCGUCCGAGGGGGCGAUGCUGCUGGCGUUGUCAAUGUCAUAGUGCUCAAUCUCAGGCUCAGGGGAAGCCAGUGGGGCGCUAGGGAUCGUCUCCGUGGCGUGUGGGAUGUCAGUUUCAUCAUAGAUGAGAUACGGGUUUUCUCUUUCGAUGAUAUCGGGUUUUGGGUUUCCUUCGGGCUGCUUCCGGACAGUCAUGUCAUCGCCAUAAGGUGGUAUGUUGUCAGGGUCAUCAAAUGCCACGUUCUCACUCCCUUUUUUCUUCUUCUCCUUUUUCUUCUCCUCUUUUGGACUUUUCGACUUCUUUCCUCGGCACUGGUUACAGAGGAUGAGGCUGAGGA
ensembl:lncRNA